GUUAUGCCUAUUUUAGUGUAUGAUACAUGUAGAGGGAUAUCAUUUUAUCUUCUGUGUUUUGUUUGGGUGUAAGAUUGGGUUCUUUUGGAGGUUUGAUUACUAAUACAUGAACAUCAAAAAUGUCCCAUAAAUAAUAACCUUUAUACAUCCUAACCACUAAUUAAGCCUUUUUUGGUUUUUUUUGUUUAGAAAAAUGCACUUUGCACAAUGGAGUGGGCAGGAAUGUUUGGGCUUCUCUGCUAUAUGCCUACAUAUGCCUUGGAAAUUAAGAAACUGACUCUAAAACGCCCACAAAACAUAAAAGACGACUGGAUAUGCAAGCGGGAAGGAUCUACAUCUGAUGAAGAGGCCCCUGAAGAACAAACACCAGUUAUCUACGUGCACAAGAUAACGUUGUUACCUUCCAAUCAAAUCACUGGGUUCAGCGAUCCCGUUAAUAUACAAGGAACUUGUCAAAUAACAGUAUUAAAAUAGCAACUGGAAGAAUACUACGGAAACCGAUCAUUUAAUAAAAAUUAACUUGAAUAUUGUA